AGUAGGGAGGAAGGUAGUGUAGUUAACACCUGCAUUUAUUUGACGUUACCUACAGAAGAAGCACCGGCUAACUCCGUGCCAGCAGCCGCGGUAAUACGGAGGGUGCGAGCGUUAAUCGGAAUUACUGGGCGUAAAGCGCAUGCAGGCGGCCUGUUAAGUCAGAUGUGAAAGCCCGGGGCUUAACCUCGGAAUUGCAUUUGAAACUGGCAGGCUAGAGUCUUGUAGAGGGGGUAGAAUUUCAGGUGUAGCGGUGAAAUGCGUAGAGAUCUGAAGGAAUACCAGUGGCGAAGGCGGCCCCCUGGACAAAGACUGACGCUCAGAUGCGAAAGCGUGGGGAGCAAACAGGAUUAGAUACCCUGGUAG
rnacentral:rRNA from 1 species